rfam:Planomicrobium sp. ES2 genome assembly, contig: CONTIG000001
AGGGCGGUAUCAUUGUUGAACUGCACCUGCAACACCCAUUUUCAACAAAUGAAUAGUUCUGCCUUGAUCUUAAAAUGACAGGGACGGAGAA